CGGGUACGUUAAUAGCGUAUUCGUUUGACGUUAGCGACAGAAGAAAGCACCGGCUAACUCCGUGCCAGCAGCCGCGGUAAUACGGAGGGUGCGAGCGUUAAUCGGAAUUACUGGGCGUAAAGCGCAUGCAGGUGGUUUGUUAAGUCAGAUGUGAAAGACCCGGGGCGUCAACCUACGGAAUAGCAUUUAGUAAACUAGGCAGACUAGAGUACUGUAGAGGGGGGUAGGAAUUUCAGGUGUAGCGGUGAAAUGCGUAGAGAUCUGAAGGAAUACCGGUGGCGAAGGCGGCCCCCUCGGACAGAUACUGACACUCAGAUGCGAAAGCGUGGGGAGCAAACAGGAUUAGAUACCCUGGUAG
rnacentral:rRNA from 1 species